GGAAGGAAAAAACAACUGCCUCACCAGCUCCUCCUCAUCUUGUAUUUGGACCAAUAAGUUUCACACCUGAGCGUUAGCCUGGCAUAGAAAGAAAUGUGACUGCAGUGAUGAAUCCAUGGUGGCUGCUACUCCUUUCCUCGUAGUUUCCCAGAUGCUCACAAACAACAUUUUAUCUGCUCCGGACUGAAGGAACUGAAGAUGACUGGUCAUUAACUUGUUAUUUCAAGGAGCCAAAUCCAUCAUAUCCUGCUCUCCAUUGAUGGCAUGAAAGCUGCUUGCCUUGUGUUAACCCACUGGAAAAGCUGGAGGAUGAGAUGCAACAGCUGGAAGAGCGCAGCUGGCUGAAUCACCAGCUCCAAAUGGCCACACAGAUGUGGAUUUACAUGAGGCUCUGGUUCACAGAGUGAAUACUGACAGUGAAGUGCUGUGUGCAGCCACCAAGGCACUGAGAAAAUUCAGCUGCAUGGAGGCACUGGGAGGAAUAAGGCUGGAAAAUUGACUGCACGUAAGAGGCAGAACUACCCACUCCAGAGUGUGUGACUGAGUGUUACAGGAAGGUAAGCAUAUUCCAAGCCAAGGAUCUUGGCUGUUCUGACUUGUGCCUAAAUUUACCUAAUGAUAAAUGAAGAACUGUAGGGGAAGGCUGGGAUAUUUGACAUACCAUCAAACUCAUAUAAAUGAGGCAGCAACCACUCAGAAUGAACAGCAGCAACAUCAUCCAUUCCGGAGAUCUGCAAAGCUGAGUUGUUGACAGCAACUUGUGAGAGCCCCACACGUACCUGCUCCUGUCGCCAAGCACAUCACAUGCCUUGGAUCUCCUGACAAGGUUAAUCCGCAGCCAAAGAACCUUCUCAGGGAUGAGAGUCGGAAAGACAGAUGGGAUUAAAAACUUUUAACAAAGCAGAAACAUUCACACAAACUGUACUGUCUCAGACACCUCUGAGCAGUUCUCAGCAGGGAGCUGCCACUCUAUUCCAGGUUUCUGUCAGCAACACAUUGCACUUCUCUAUUUUCCCUCAGCUUAUUGAUUUAUAUACAGUGAAAAAACAUAUCUAGGAAUACAGGAAAUAUAUCAUAAAUGCAUAUAGUGGGUAGUAUUGUGCCAGCGGUUACCCCACCACCCAGGAUUUGAGAGAAGCUUUUAGCUGGCAGGGAUCUGCAGGAGGGUUAAUGGACUUCACUGGGAUGAACUCAUUAAUAACGCACUGUUCUACAUCCCAGCUGAGAGCAGCACCCACCUGGCUGUGCAACACCCUCCUGCCAAUUCACACCAGGAAUGCAUCUGCCUCUACUUAAUAAUCCCUUUAGGGAUGCAGGUACUAUUUCAGCAGAAAUGGCCAUUACAGAGAAACCACCGACUCACAAAAGACUCUAUUUACCAUUACCAGAGUGGAGAGAGCAGAACACGUUUGCACGGUAAGGAAUUCCACUGUGUACUCUUAUCAGGGGGCACUGCAAUAACAAUGACAUGGAAAACACCUAUUCUAUAUAUGGAAUGGCUGAGUACCCAGUUCUCUCUGUGCAAACCUACCUUGCCAUUAAAUAGAAAGGGUGUAUUUGGCGAGGUGUGCAGGUGUAACGUGUAAAUCCUUAACUGUAAGAAAUUAAUCGAGUCAUACAAUAAAUGUGUACCCCCUGUAACAGAUACAAAAGACAAAGCUGUGGGAAACUUGCACCACGUCUUACUCCAGCUCUCUCAUCAUUUGCUUGACUACACCUAGCAUCACCAAUGCUGCUCGCAGACAUCAUGGCUCCUCAAGCCUGCACAGGAGGCAGCACACAGCGAAACACUCAGCAGUCACACACCAGAGACCUAAAGCAGAAAAAACACCAUUAACCAUCCCGUGCACAAGGGACGUGUUGCUGCUCCUCCCCUACAAACCAAACCCCAUCUUUAAGUGCGUUGUUUAAUGAGAUGAAGGCUGCAGCAACCCAAGGACUGAAUUUUGCUGGGUGCCCCAUCACCAGCUUUUACUGCCUUGCAGCAAAUGCUCUCAAGCACCUCCCUGACCCCCUGCAGGUUUUUAGUGAAGUCACACAAACUUCCUACGCUUCCAACUUUGGCUAAAGAAAAGCAGGCACAAGGCUGGAGGUGUAGCAGCCUGCUAAGCACCCUGCUGCUGCAGACAGACCUGCUGGCAUGCUAGGAACAGUGCAGCAUGGCACAGAAGAGCAAAGGGUGAAAGAUAGCACUGAGCUUAAAUGAGCCGUGCCAUCCAGUCUGUAUCACACAGCUGCAUUCUUGGCUCCGAGUACAAAACAGCUCUGGUACAGAUGAGUUCAGAGCUGGGAAUAAGAUGGCAGCUCUGUUUUGAGAACGGUAAUGUAAAUAGUUGAACACCUGGGCUAGUUUUGAAAUCUCUCUCCUGUACUGAAGCACACCAGAGCUGUUAAGAUGCGAUAAACCCUUUCACUUGAGCGCCCUGAGGCUCGUGUGUGCAAGAGCAAGGUUCAGAACAGACCUGGGUUGUGCAACACAGCAGGUAAAGCAACCUACCCCAGCCUGUCCUUUUUGUAGCUUCUGCAAGAGCAGGUCACGCUGCCCUUUCAUGAAAUAGCAUAACCAAGUGCUGUAGGAGUUGGCAGGGAGAUGUUGGAGAUGGUCCAGAGGAGGGCCAUAAUGAUUAGAGGGCUGAAGCACCUCCCCUACAAAGGCAGGCUGAGGGAGCUGGGCUUGUUCAGCCUGAAGAAAGCUGUGGGGUGACCACAUUGCAGCCUUUCAGUAUCUAAAGGGGAGCCUAUAAACAGGGGAGUUGAGUCUUAAGGUAGAUAACAGCACAAGGGGAAAUGGUUUUAAGUCGAAGGAGGGAGGGCUUAGGUUUGACGUCAGGGUUAAGUUCUUUACUACGGGAGUGUUGAGGUGCUGGAACAGCUGCCCACAGACAUUGUGGAUGCCCUGCCCCUGGAGGUGUUCAAGGUCAGGUUGGAUGGGGCCCUGGACAGCCUGGUCUAGUAUUAAACAUGGAGACUGGUGGCCCUGCAUGCAGCAUGUGGGUUUGGUGCUUAAUGAUCCUUGAGGUUCCUUCCAACCCGAGACAUUCUACAACUCUGUGAUAUGAAAUAUACCCUGUCAAAGGGAGGAGCAGCAAACUCAGGGCAUUCCAGCACAGGAGAUGCUUCCAAGUGACACCUCCUGGCAGCUGGGUGCCUCUUCAUGAUGCACUGUUACUCACCCAAAAGGAAAUUGCUUACAUGCAUUAAGGAAUGCUCUGACUGCAUUGCUGCUAACGUGCUCACACUGCAAAUGUCUGGGUGAAUGGCACCAGAACUGAUGUGUAACUUUGCGCCACUGCAUCUGAAUAGCCAGAGAAAGUGAGCAGUUACACAUAACCAGUGUUAGCAGCCUCCUUGCAGGACUUCCUUUCAACACCAAUUCCAGCAAUGUCUUGCCUAUGUUACACAUCCACUUUUUCUGUGAGCCACACAAGGGACAAAGAACAGCAUUGCAAGUUUGCAGUAACGGAAGGGUCACACUGCCUUAAUCACACCUUCCAGUUCUGUUCUCCAGUUGUUUUCAGUGGAGCUUUGGAUUUCAGUAGUUUGUGAUUGAUGAAGGAAAACACCCCCACCUGCCCCCUUUACCCCUCAUUUUUCAUAAGCAUGAAGAACUGCCACCAUGCUAAAGGAUCUGUCAGCUCACGGACUGUGUGCGGGCUCCCUAGUGAGAUGUGGUACAAACUCAGGCUCAGAUCAGGCCUAUUGUCAAUAGCGUGGGGCCUGCAGCCAGUGAAGCUCGAGGGCCAAGCAAUACUAUUAGUUUUUAAAUCACAAAACAUGGCCUCAUUUGAUCAAGAUUAUAGCUCUGUGGGUAGUUCUGGCCUGCAUGGCUCUAUGUAUGGUCUCAAGAAUCCCUAUUCAGCUGAGCAGAUGCUCAUCUAUUCCCUCCGUUCAGGUUUCUGCCACUGCUUGCUGGGAGUUUCCCCACAGCUGCCAUCUGCUGGACUCAGCCUGCACUUCUACCAAGGCCCAUCACUGUGUCCUGAUGAACAAGUAUGAAGCUCACUGGACCCUCCCAUCCAGUGUCAAAACCAGAAGUAUCUUCCUGUUUCACCACUGCCAAUGAGGCCUCACUUAAACUCAUGGAUGUUCUGAGAGAACCUGAGGUUUCCUCUUGAUUAAAACUAAUUCCUGUGAGGCCACGACUUGCAGCAGCCUGUGCACCCCCCACCCCGUGUUGUGUAACCGCUACUGAACUUCAGAACAGGUCCACGACACCUGAAGAGGAUCUUCUUGUGCUGAAAAACAGAACAUAAGAAGGUUAGCACAGGAAUCCUGAGGUCUUCCAGAAAUGUAACAACUGCUUCCUCACAGCUUCAUUCACAAACACUGAGAUACAUAACCUUCCCAUUCUCACCCGUGUCCUCCCCAAGUUCUCGCACCACACAGAUACUUACCUACACCCAGCUGAAUCCACACCCUUACCUUGAAGCUGUUACCAACUCCACAAAGCAUUUCUGUCCAUCAUUACAGAAGGAAACCAUCUCAGCAGCUUCUCCAGCGUCAAGAUCAGAGCGCUCAUUUUAAUGUGCCUUUACCUGCUUUUCUCACAGGCUCUACAGGCAGCUGCCCCUGUGACACUACAGCUCUCCCCAUUCAUCCAAAGGGACUGCAGACAACAAAGUGGAAUAUUAGAACUUAUUUGUGUGCCAAGAGAAAUAAAAACGGUGUGUGUCACCUUUACAAGCCAUUAUGAAAACCUUCCCACCCAGCUGAUUCGUGUGCUGGUGAUUACACAGGGCCAACAACUACACACGUGUGUAGUGAGACAAGGCCAACAUCUGAGCAGCUCUCCGAAAUGUGCUGACAUGGAUGGUGACUCCACAUGAACAGAACACCUUAAAACUUACCCUGGAGUGUUUUUACACUCUACAUUGUAGAUAAAUGCUUUUCUCACGCAGAUUGCAGGCACCUUUCCAGUAUUUUAUCCAGUGAAGGCUGAAUUUACAGCAACAAAAUCUUUUGGGUUUUAAUUAGGAGCAUGAAUUUACCGUGAUGAAAGCAAGGAAAGCAUACAAACACGUACUAACUGCUGCUCUGCAGCAGGCAACACAUCACACAUCCCUACUUAUCCUUCUUCCCUGCACCACCUUCCAUGACUUCAGCUGCUUUUCCUCACUCUCAGGGCACACAGUGGUUGCUUACCUGAAUGCACCCAAACCAAAUUCAUUUUUGCAACAAGAAAAACUCAUGGUUUCUACAUCAAGGGAUGGCGGCACAGCAAAGUACAGGCACAUAUGACAGCUUAGCGGGCUCAGGAUCAUACAAAUACCUGAAGCAGCUUUCACGAACUGCAUUAAACCAGAGGAUACCUGUGUAUUUAGAGUACAGCAAAGGCAGGCCUUCAGUUUUUAGUUUUUCAGAUGAAUGCUCAGAUGGUGCUUAUUUCUGCAGUAUGGCCAUAAGCUUCUUGUGGAUCUUGCAAGGUGGGGGAAGGAAGAGAAGGAACCAUCGCAGGUGAUAGCACUGAUACUUUACACAUAAAAGCAAGGCACGUAGUUACUAUGUCAGCAGAUUCAUCCUGGACAACUUCAUAUCCACGUCCGUAGAAAAGACACACACCCUAUCACACUACUUACCGUCAUUUCCUGGUUAUCAGCUGCACAAACAUAAGCAUAAGCUUUGCCUUCAAGUUUGAGGACAGCAACUGUUCUGAUGUAUAAUACUGUCUGAUUCUUUUUUUUUCCCCUUCAGCAAAGCUAAAAGCAUCCACAUAGAGAAAUAAAACAAAGAGAGCAACACUUUUAAUUCGGAGUUCUUCAGAUGUAUGAAACUAAACUGGAAAUUAUACCAGCAACAGAGCAUUAUAUUCUCCUCUUCUGUGAUGAAUGCAGUACAACUGGAUAAGGUGGAGCGAGCAGAAGCUACAUGAGGUGCAUGUGCUGUCCUAAGAUGCCUGGCCUUUUGUGGGAAGAUAGAGAAGGCAAAAAGUUGGCUCAGACUCUUUGACAAGAGGGAUGAGGGUUUAAAGAAGACAGAAGAAUGGCAAGUAUUGCAACAAUACCAAUGUGUGUUUCAAAAUGCCAAGGUAUAGGUUGUGUGAAGUGAAUUAACAUCUGAUAGUCCUUCACCAUCUGAAUGCACUGGAUGACAGACCACCAUACAUGUGUAGUUACCGUGAGGUGUUAUCCUGAGAAAUUCACUGCACUUACCUCCAGGAGGAGCCAAAAUACUUCAGAACAGAAAAACCUGUAAAUCCUUUUUCCUGACCUAUACCACUAUUGGACUUUGGCCCACACAUCCAGGAAGCCUAUCAGACUCCUCCCAAGGGAAUAUCUUCUUGAAGGAAUAAAACACUUUAUUUCACAGGAA